rnacentral:rRNA from 1 species
GACGAACGCUGGCGGCGUGCUUAACACAUGCAAGUCGAACGAUGAAGAAAAGAAUCGAAGCUUCGGCAGAAAUUCAUUUCGGAUUAGUGGCAGACGGGUGAGUAACGCGUGAGCAACCUACCUCUUACAAAGGGAUAGCCUCGGGAAACCGGGAUUAAUACCAUAUAACAUUGCGACGAAGCAUUUCGAUGCAAUCAAAGCUACGGCGGUAAGAGAUGGGCUCGCGUCCCAUUAACCGGAUGGUGAGGUAACGGCUCACCAUAGUGACGAUGGGUAACCGGCCUGAGAGGGUGAACGGUCACACUGGAACUGAGACACGGUCCAGACUCCUACGGGAGGCAGCAGUGGGGAAUAUUGCACAAUGGAGGGAACUCUGAUGCAGCGACGCCGCGUGAGUGAUGAAGGAAUUCGUUUCGUAAAACUCUGUUCUAUGGGAAGAAAAGGACUGUACCAUAGGAGAAAGCUCCGGCUAAAUACGUG